GCAUCGAUAGCUCAGUGGCAGAGCGGUGGGGCGUUUACCCAUGCGGCCCGGGUUCGAUCCACGGUCGAUGUA